CGCUACAACAAAAAGAUGAGAAACUGAAAUCAUUCAAAGACAGAGUGGCAGAGGAUGUUGCUCUGUCAAUUAAAACAGGGAAAACGAUGAGCCUUAACAACCCUGUUAAUAAGAACCGGUUGAAGGAGAUGUAUGACAACCUGAGGUGUGACUGGCCAAAAAUUAAAAACAACUUAAAAUCAAACCAGAAACAUCCAGACUCUGUCAAAGAACUGAUUCAGACAAAGUUCAGGGAGGCAAAAACUGAAAUGAGAAACAGGAAAAUAUUGGUAGAUAAAGUAUUUGAAUCAAAUGGGAACAGUUAUGGAGGAACACCACAAAAGGU